rnacentral:rRNA from 1 species
AGAAUCAACGCUGGCGGCGUGCCUCAGACAUGCAAGUCGAACGCGAAAGUCCCCUUCGGGGGGCAAGUAGAGUGGCGCACGGGUGAGUAACACGUAGGUAAUCUACCUUCGGAUGGGGAAUAACAAUCGGAAACGGUUGCUAAUACCGCAUAAUGCAGCGGCACCUAAUGGUGACAGUUGUUAAAGCGGGGGAUCGAAAGACCUCGCGUCUGAAGAGGAGCCUGCGGCGGAUUAGCUAGUUGGUAAGGUAACGGCUUACCAAGGCGACGAUCCGUA